GCUAUAUGCUGACAUGCAUCCACAGCCACAUGUUGCGACCCCACAGGAUGGCUAUGCACGACAUAGGGAUGAGGCAUUAGCUGGGGCGUUUGAAAUGUGCAGGUUGAUGGACAUAGAUACCAGGGCGAAAUUGAUGAGGAUUCGAGCGGGAUCUAUGAUGGAUAGGAAUGAGCAAGAGUCGGCCUGGACCCGAGUUUCACAAAGAGCCCAUUCCAUGCUUGAAGCCUUUGGUAGCCGGACAUCGUAUGAGGACUCCUACGGUUCGUCUCAAGCCUCGACCUCGUUUCCUUGUGGUCCCACACAGCAGCAGCCUUCCCCAGCACCUUAUUAGUCUCAGCAGCAUUAUCCAGGUGAUGGACACCCACCUUAUCAACCUCACGGAGGGACCCAGUUUAGUACCAUGGCACCAGC